rnacentral:rRNA from 1 species
UGGGGAAUAUUGCGCAAUGGGCGCAAGCCUGAUCCAGCCAUGCCGCGUGGAUGAUGAAGGCCUUAGGGUUGUAAAAUCCUUUCGUGGGGGACGAUAAUGACGGUACCCCAAGAAGAAGCUCCGGCUAACUUCGUGCCAGCAGCCGCGGUAAUACGAAGGGGGCUAGCGUUGUUCGGAUUUACUGGGCGUAAAGCGCGUGUAGGCGGGUCGUUAAGUUGGGGGUGAAAUCCCGGGGCUCAACCUCGGAACUGCCCUUGAUACUGCAAAUCUCGAGUCCGAUAGAGGUGAGUGGAAUUCCUAGUGUAGAGGUGAAAUUCGUAGAUAUUAGGAAGAACACCAGUGGCGAAGGCGGCUCACUGGAUCGGUACUGACGCUGAGGUGCGAAAGCGUGGGGAGCAAACAGGAUUAGAUACCCCCGUAGUCCCUGAGCGGGCUGGCAAGGCGCAU